AGCGAACGCUGGCGGCAGGCCUAACACAUGCAAGUCGAACGAACCUUUCGGGGUUAGUGGCGGACGGGUGAGUAACACGUGGGAACGUGCCUUUAGGUUCGGAAUAACUCAGGGAAACUUGUGCUAAUACCGAAUGUGCCCUUCGGGGGAAAGAUUUAUCGCCUUUAGAGCGGCCCGCGUCUGAUUAGCUAGUUGGUUGAGGUAAUGGCUCACCAAGGCGACGAUCAGUAGCUGGUCAGAGAGGAUGAUCAGCCACAUUGGGACUGAGACACGGCCCAAACUCCUACGGGAGGCAGCAGUGGGGAAUCUUGCGCAAUGGGCGAAAGCCUGACGCAGCCAUGCCGCGUGAAUGAUGAAGGUCUUAGGAUUGUAAAAUUCUUUCACCGGGGACGAUAAUGACGGUACCCGGAGAAGAAGCCCCGGCUAACUUCGUG
rnacentral:rRNA from 1 species